rnacentral:rRNA from 1 species
AAUAGAUACCCAGGUAGUCCACGCCGUAAACGAUGAGUGCUAGGUGUUAGGGGUUUCGAUACCCUUAGUGCCGACGCUAACGCAAUAAGCACUCCGCCUGGGGAGUACGGCCGCAAGGCUGAAACUCAAAGGAAUUGACGGGGACCCGCACAAGCAGUGGAGCAUGUGGUUUAAUUCGAAGCAACGCGAAGAACCUUACCAGGACUUGACAUCCCUCUGAAUCCUCUAGAGAUAGAGGCGACCUUCGGGACAGAGGUGACAGGUGGUGCAUGGUUGUCGUCAGCUCGUGUCGUGAGAUGUUGGGUUAAGUCCCGCAACGAGCGCAACCCUUAAUCUUAGUUGCCAGCAUUCAGUUGGGCACUCUAAGGUGACUGCCGGUGACAAACCGGAGGAAGGUGGGGAUGACGUCAAAUCAUCAUGCCCCUUAUGUCCUGGGCUACACACGUGCUACAAUGGGCAGUACAAAGGGUAGCGAAGCCGCGAGGUGGAGCCAAUCCCAUAAAGCUGCUCUCAGUUCGGAUUGC